rnacentral:rRNA from 1 species
AUGGGAAAAAGUCCGGAACAAAAGUUGCUAACAGCCCUAGGGAAAUUGCCUGUCUGCUCAACUGUGCUUGCCCAACCUGAGGCCACAAGUGUUCCAGAAAUAAUAGAAGCAACUAGCCAGGGGAACACUUCCCAUUUCUCUGAUGUGGAGGAGCGGUACCAUGAAUUCAUGCGUGUUAGUGGGAAGACAACCAAUGCACUACAAAUCAAUGUUCUAGAUGUGAGUGAGCUUUUUGCAUGCCCAAGGGUAAUUGAAUAUGGCAAAUACUUUGUCACAGUCAGGGAGCUCGCAAACUCAAUGAAGAAGGAAGGUUUUGUCUUGAUCCAUGUAAUGGAAGUUGGUAUAGAGUCUACAAUGAUGAACUUGCCACCAGACUCAAAGAAGCUCGUGAUGCCCCUCAGGUUCUCGGUUCAGAUGCAAAACAUGGAAUUGAACGGCAAGGAGCUCAUUUCCCAGUUCAAGAAGUCGAAUCGCUUGGACCGUAAAGACAUGAUUAUGUUCCCAGUUUUAGAGAACAUUGACAAGACAAAGCCUAAAACAGGCAAUCAUUACUGGAUUUUUAACGUGAACAUAAGGGAUCGAUGUUUUGAAGCUCUUGAUUCUUGGAGGACGCUCCAAAACAAGGCUCUAGAUGUUUGCGCAAGGAAAAUGGUUGCAAGUUUUCGGUCUCUAUGGGAAGAGCAUUACGCCAGUUCUCGCGUCUCACUGGAUGACUUUGGGCUUACCAACAUCGACGUUCCAAAACAAAAAACUGAGUAA